AGUUCCCUCUCUCUCUACAAGGAACACCCUAUAUGGAUUCCACAGAGCAAGAUCCUUCCCACCAUAUCUCCGCCAGCCCAGCACGUCAGGCAUUUCCAUUUUCCGUGGCAGUCCAUGAGAAUCGGAGCCCCUGAUACCAGUUCAUUUGGGAUCCAGCCCUUUCACCCCCCUUCCUCCAGAGGGCACUGCUCACCCUAAGGAGCAAACAGCUCCUAAUGGGGUUCAGUGAUAACAGCACUCCUCAUCUUGCUAGAAGCGACUGCACUGACCAGAACACCCUUGGCAGCUGGAUCCUGAGGGAGGCUUUGGAGUCAGAGGCAUUCGCUGGGACUCUGCCCUCCAAGGUGUACCUGCCCCCAUUUCAGCUGUGGAGGCACAGAUGCUUGGUGAAGACUGGGUGCCCAGCCAUGAGUGGCAUAGGUGCAGCCAGCCUGGCUUCCAGCAAGUGCCAUCAGCAAAGAAAGCAUCUCUGCCCAUUGAUGCCAGCUGUUCGCAACUGCUUUGGGAACUGGCAUCUUGGCAAAGUGCAGGGGGGUGGGGCGGGGACAGAAAUGUGGCUGAUCAGUCUGCCAGCCCAUGUCUGGAACCCUGCCUCCUCUACAUCCACCUCCCAGACUGUGGGAUCUGAGCAGCUGACUGACUGGCACUAUCCACAACCCCCACAGACAGCACUGGGCUCUCCUCAACUCACUCACCUCCUAACCUACCCCAAAGGAGGAAAACACUGCCAGACAGAGUGAAGAAGAUUCACAGCUGUGUGCCCAGGCUGCAGAGUUCAGGCUUCAGGGAGCCCCCUGGGCAGCCAGAUAGAAGCCAGAAGAGCAGAGGUGCUACCUCUCCCAGCCGGGUGGUGCCCUAGCUACACUUGGCUCUGCCUGUGUCUACCAGCACCCAGGAUGCCAAGGGUCUGCCUGCAUGGUCGCUGACCCAAGCCUCCCUAACCAAGGCCUCCAUUCCAGACAAACCUGGCCAAUCGAUGUGGCCAAGAUCCAGCCUAUGAAACAGAAGCCCCCAGUGCUCCAUAACUCCUGAAUUAUGCUCAGACUCCUCUGGGAAGAAGACCAUCCUCAAAGGCAGAGAAUUCCCAGAGUGUGCGGCAGGCAAAAGCACAUCACCCAAAGCCAGCAGUGCUAUACCUCUCCUCAGAGGUAGCAACUUGUUCUCCAGGAUGUCCCUGGCGUCAGUGCCUUCGUCCAUGAGGUCCAGUUUCGUGAUCACACCGAUGGUCCGCAAGCCUGUGUGAGAGGCUGGAGGUUAGAGGAGAGGCUAGUGUGCCUGCUGCUGCCCAUCCUGAGGAACCCACUCCAAUAGGGCUGGAGAGAGGGAUGAGGUCACUGGAACUGCCCCUGGCAGAGGGAGUUGGGAAGGAAAUAAACCCUGAUUUUAAAGCAGA